rnacentral:lncRNA from 1 species
UUUUUUUUUUAAUUUUUUUUAUUGGUUGUUCAAAACAUUAUAAAGCUCUUGACAUAUCAUAUUUCAUACAUUAGAUUCAAGUUGGUUAUGAACUCCCAAUUUUACCCCAAAUACAGAUUGCAGAAUCACAUCGGUUACACAUCCACAUUUUUACAUAAUGCCCUAUUAGUAACUGUUGUAUUCUGCUACCUUUCCUAUCCUCUACCAUCCCCCCUCCCUCCCCUCCCAUCUUCUCUCUCUACCCCAUCCACUGUAAUUCAUAUCUCUCCUUGUUUAUUUUCCCAUUCCCCUCACAACCUCUUAUAUGUAAUUUUGUAUAACAAUGAGGGUCUCCCUCCAUUACCAUGCAAUUUCCCUUUUCUCUCCCUUUCCAUCCCACCUCAUGUAUCUGUUUAAUGUUAAUCUUUUCUUCCUGCUCUUCCUCCCUGCUCUGUUCUUAGUUGCUCUCAUUAUAUCAAAGAAGACAUUUGGUAUUUGUUUUUUAGGGAUUGGCUAGCUUCACUAAGCAUAAUCUGCUCUAGUGCCAUCCAUUUCCCUGCAAAUUCUAUGAUUUUGUCAUUUUUUAGUGCUGCGUAAUACUCCAUGGUGUAUAAAUGCCACAUUUUUUUUAUCCAUUCAUCUAUUGAAGGGCAUCUGGGUUGGUUCCACAGUCUAGCAAUUGUGAAUUGUGCUGCUAUGAACAUCGAUGUAGCAGUAUCCCUGUAGUACGCUCUUUUAAGGUCUUCAGGGAAAAGUCCAAGAAGGGCAAUAGCUGGGUCAAAUGGUGGGUCCAUUCCCAGCUUUCCCAGGAAUCUCCAUACUGCUUUCCAGAUUGGCCGCACCAGUUUGCAGUCCCACCAGCAAUGUACAAGAGUACCCUUUUCCCCACAUCCUCUCCAGCACUUGUUGUUGUUUGACUUCAUAAUGGCUGCCAAUCUUACUGGAGUGAGAUGGUAUCUUAGGGUGGUUUUGAUUUGCAUUUCUCUGACUGCUACAAAAUAUUUGUUUUUCAACAUUUACCUUAAAUCAUGGGGGCCAUAAAAUGUCUCUAAACACAUUGAAAACAGAAAAGCUAAGUACACUUACAGACAUAAAUCAUCAGGUGCUUCAAACUUUAUAAGACAUUUGAAACUGCAGAAGGCACAGUAAGACUUAAAUAAAAAAGUUCUUUUUAAAUUCAUUUUUUGCAUUAUCAAUCUUAAAUUUUCAAAUACAAAAGUAAAUAUUAGGUGUUAAUAUAUUGGACCAAUUAGCAGAAGAAUUUUCAGACAGUGAUGCCAGUUUUACAUAGACAUCAUUAGAUGCUUAAAAUAGAACAUCAUUUAAAUUAAUUUCCAUAGUGAUUUGGUUGCAAGAAAAAUUCAUUUCACGGAAUCACAGUGAAUUUUUGGAAACAUUCCGUCAAGUUAAUAUGUUUAAUAUUAUCAUGUUGGUGUUAUAAAUUUGGUUUAAAAGUUCAAAACUAAAAUUUAAAAUUGUUUUUGCAGUUAUAAUGUAAAAUAUUUUAGGUACAACACAGUGAUGUCAUAAAGACUGGUACACUAUAAUUAAUUAAUUACUUACUAAUUAAGUCUAAUUAAUUACUUGGGAUUUGAUAUGAUAUACACCAUUUGUCAAAAUGUGAUGAAUUUUUAUGUAUAUUCACUUACAGUAAUAAUUAAAAAAUGUUUCUGAUUAAAUAUUUAGAAUGGCAAAAAAAAAAAAGUAUGGAUUUUAUUAAGACUUUUGUUUCUAUGCUUGAUGAUUUUACAGUUUUUUCAAGUUUGGAUCUGGGAUAUGUGAGUCAAAACAAAACUUUUGAAAGUCUUUAUUAAAAUUUCAUUCCCUAUCACUUUAGAGUCUUAUUGCAGGAGUAUGAAAAAAACUACAUGGAACUUGGGGAAGAAUGAUGCAAGAAGAAUAAGCAGAAGAAUAUCUUAAUAAUUUGAACAAUUUGUUUUCUUAUACCAUAAAAGUUAAAAAAAACCCUUUAAAACAGAGCAUGAAUGGAAAAAUACUUAGACAAAUUUUUUUUUUAAAUUAACCAACGUGGAAACUGGUUGUAGACUAAAGGUUGCUCUAGGCUUAUAUAAUGAACCUUAAUAUAAAUUAUUAACAAGUCAAAACAUUUUCAGAUACUUUAACUGGGUCCUAAAACAAAGUUAAAAAUAUUUAAAUAAACAGUCAUGUACAGUGGUCACCCCACAAUAUGAUCCAUAAUCUCUUUUGUCUACUGAAAACUUACCAGACAUAUAAACAAGUAAAAAUACCACUUAUAAUGAGAAGAAAAAUCAAUAAAUUUCUAAUGAUAAUGCUAAUAGGAUUCUCACUGAAAACAAGGCAAGCCAGUAAACAGUACAAGAACGUCAUUAUCAUACUCAAAAGUCUAAUGACACAACAUAUCAAUAUCACUAGGACACUAUGAAGGCAGGCCUAAGAUGAAAGUUCAUUGCAUUGAGCUUAUUCGCUAAAAGAAUAGAAAUUAAUCAAAUAAACAAACUAACAUUACAUCUCAAAGCCCUAUAAAAAAGAACAAAUCAACACAAAAGCAGUACAAGACAGGAAAUAAUCAAAAUCAGAGCUGAUAUCAAUGAAAUGAAACAAAAAAAUUUCAAAAUAUCAAUAAAACAAAAGUUGAUUCUUUGAAAAAAUAAGUAAAUUAAUAAAGCUAAUGAAGAGAAAGAGAAAACUCAAAAUUACUAAGAUUCAUGAUAAAAAAGGAAAUAUCACAAUGGACAGUACUGAAAUACAGAUGAUAUCAGAAACUAUUUUGAAAAUCUAUACUCCAGUAAAAUAGACAAGCCCAGGACCAGAUGGAUUUUCUGCUGAUUUCAAAGAAGAAAUUACACCAAUACUCUUCAAAUUAUUCUAUGAAAUUGAAAAGGAGGGAACUCUUUUAAACUGAUUUUAUGAAGCUAGUAUCACCCUGACACCAAAACCAGAAAAAGACACAUCAAGGAAAGAAAACUUCAGGCUAAUAUCCUUGAUGAACAUAGAUGCAAAAGUUCUUAAUAAAAUACCAGCAAAUCACAUACAGAACCAUAUUUAAAAGAUAGUGUGCCAUGAUCAAGUGGGGUUCAUCCCAGGGAUCCAAGGUUGGUUUAACAUGUAGAAAUUAAUAAAUGUAAUUCACUUUAUCAAUAGACUUAAAGACAAAAAUCACAUGAUAAUCUCAAUAGAUGUUGAAAAAGCAUUUGAUAAAACUUAGCAUCCAUUCAUGCUCAAAACACAAGAAAAACUAGGGAUGGUAGGAAUAUACCUGAACAUUGUAAAAGUUAUAUAUGGUAAACCCAAAACAAACAUCAUUCUAAAUGGAGACAAAUUGAAAACAUUCUCUCUAAAAACUGGAACAAGACAAGGAUGCCCCCUUUCACCACUUCUAUUCAACAAAGUACUUAAAACUCUAGCCAGAGGAAUUGGUCAAAAGAAAGCCAUUAAAGGAAUACAAACAGGAAAAGAAGAACUCAAACUAUUCCUAUUUGUUUAUGGCAUAAUUCUAUAUUUAGAAGACCUUCCCCCCCAAAAAAAUCCAUCAGAAAACAUCUAGAAUUCAGCAGAUUAACAGGAUAUAAAAUUAACACCUAUAUCAAUAAUUCAAUGGCAUUCCUGUACACCACAGAUGAAUCGGCUGAAAGAGAAAUUAGGAAAACAAUUCUAUUCACAAUAGCCUCAAAACAAACAAACAAACAACCCCCCCCCCCCAAACUUAGGAAUCAGUCUAACAAAAGAGGUUGAAAAACUACAGAACAUUAAAGAAAGAAAUUGAAGGUGACCUUAGAAUAUGGAAAGAUCUCUCAUGUUCUUGGAUAGGCAGAAUUAAUAUUGUCAAAAUAUGACCAUCCUACCAAAAGCUCUAUCUAUACAGAUUUAAUGCAAUUACUAUAAAAUUCUAAUGACUUUCUAGAAGGAGAAAAGCAGUCAUGAAAUUCAUUUGGAAAAAUUAGAGGCUCAGCUUAGCCAAAGCAAUACUUAGCAAGAAAGCAAAGCAGGAGGCAUCACAAUACCAGACUUUAAAUUAUACUACAGAGGUAGAGUAACAAAAACAACAUGGUAUGAGCACAAAAUAAGACAUGCAGACCAAUGGAACAGAAUAGAAGACACAGAGACAAAACCACAUAUAUACAGUUCCCUCAUACUAGAUAAAGGCACCAUAAACCUAUAUUGGAGAAAAGAUAGUCUCUUCAACAAAUGGUGCUGGGAAAAAUGGAAAUUAAUACAUGGCAAAAUUAAAUUGAACCCCUAUCUCUCACCCUGUAUAAAACUCAAAGUGGUUGAAGAACUUAGGCAUUAGAACAGAGACACUGUACCUACUGGAAGCAAAUGUAGGCCCCACUCUCCAUCAUGUCAGUUUAGAACUUAUUUCCUCAACAAGACUCCUAAAGCACAAGAAGUAAAAUCAGGAAACAAUAAAUGGGAUGGUAUCAAACUGAAAGAGGAUACAAUGAAGAAUGUGAAGAGAGAGCAUACAGAAUGGGGGAAAAUCUUUGUCAUCUGCACCUCAGAUAGGCCAUUAAUCUCCAGGAUAUAUAAAGAACUCAAAAAACUUAACAUCAAAAAACCCCAAAUAAUCCAAUCAAUAAAUGGGCAAAGGAACUGAACAGAUAUUUCACAGAAGAAAUAUAAAUGGUCAACAAAUAUAUGAAAAAUGUUCAACAUCUCUAGCAAUUGGAGAAAUGCAAAUUAGAACUACACUGAGAUUCCAUCUCACUCCAGUCCGAAUGUUAAUUAUCAAGAAUACAAGCAAGUGUUGGCAAGGAUGUGGGGGAAAAGGUUCACUCAUCUGUUGCUGGUGGGACUGCAAAUUGAUGCAAAGACUCUGGAAAGCAGGAUUGAGAUUCCUCAGAAAAUUUGGAAUGGGACCACCAUUUGACCCAGUUAUCACACUCCUUAGUAUAUACCCAAAGGAUUUAAAAUCAGCAUACUACAGUGAUGCAGUCACAUCAAUGUUUAAAGCAGCUCAAUUCACAAUAGCUAAGCUAUGGAACUAACCUAGGUGCCCUUCAACAGAUGAACGAAUAAACAAAAUAGUAUAUAUACCUGAUGGAAUAUUACUCAUCUAUAAAGAAAAAUGAAAUUAUGGCAUUUGCCAGUAAAUGUAUGGAACUGGAUGCUAUCAUGCUAAGUGAAAUAAGCCAAUACCAAGAAACCAAAGGCUAAAUAGUUUUUCUGAUAUGUGGAUGCUAAUAUACAUUAAUAGUGGGAUGAUGGAAGAAUAGAAGUUCAUUGCACUAGACAAAGGGGAACGGAGGGAAAGGAGUGGGAAUGGGAAUAGGAAAGACAGUAGAAUGAAUCAGACAUAACUUUCCUAUGUUCUUACAUGAAUACAUGACCAGGGAAACUCCACAUCAUAUACAAACACAAGAAUGGGACCCUAAUUAGAAGAAGUUAUACUCCAUGUAUGUAUAAUAUGUCAAAGUACACUCUACUAUCAUGUAUCUAAAAAGAACAAAUAAAAAGGAAGGUAUACUAAAAGAGAAAAAACAAAAUUGUGGACUCUUAAAAAAAUGUCUACAUGGAAUUCUAUAUUCUACAAAACCAAAUUAUUCAAGAAAUGCCUGGGAAAAUAUAGACUGCUUCAUAUAAGAAUCUGAAAGAAUUCAUCAUAGCUGACUUAUAGUUUAAGAAACUUGUUAAAGAAAUCCCCCAGGAAGAAGUAAAUGUAUAUGAAGGAAAGAAGAACACCACAAAGAGUAAAUUUUUUGAUAUUCGUAAAACAUGUUUUAUUAUUUAGCAUGAUUUUCAAAGAGAAUUUUCUUCUCAAGGCAAAAGUAAUAAUGAUAUGUUUUGGGGUUUAUAACAAAUAUAGAAGUAAAAUUUAACACAACAAUAUCAUAAGGACUGAGAGCAGGGAAACAAAGGUAUUAUCAAUGUUUUUUAUUCACAAUAGUAACUUGAAGUUGUUAUGUUAAAGAUAAAUAGUGUUAAAUCUAAAUCCACCAUGAAAAAGUAGAUAUAAAUAGUAAACAAAUAAAUCGACAAGAGUCAUAAAAAGGUACUUAAUCAGAAAGAGUAUAAAAGAGGAGCAAAAAGAAGGAAUAAAUUGAAAAAUUGCAAUAAUCCCAUCUUUUAUGUGUGGCCUAAACACAAUACUGAAUUUAAAAAGUGAGACUUCACUAUAUUCUGCUGAUAUAAACCCCAUUUUAAAAAAUAAAAUGAUGACAAAAUGUAUACCAUGAAAAUAAAAGUAAAGUUGGAGUAAUUUAUUAUUAUCAGGUGAAGAUGUCAAAGAUAAGAAUUUAUUAAGGAUACUGAUGUUUAUUUAGUAAUAAUGUUAAUUCAUCAAAAGGAUAUAAACAUUGUGAAAAUUUAAGGAGCUAUUGUGAACAAUCUAAUGACAAACAAUUUGGCUAUUUGGUUGAAAUGAACAACUUUCUUCAAAGACACAUACUCUUCUCAUUGAAGAAGAAAUAGCUUACCCUUUUAUCCAUAUACUUAGAAGAAAAUCUUGAAUUAAAAACCUUUUAAGAAGAAAAUUACAGGUACAGAAAGCUAAGCAUUUGAGGAGGAAAUAAUAUCAUGUUUAUAUAAAUAAACUCUUCCAGAAAAUUGAAAAGGGGAAAAACACUUCCUAAUGGAUUUUAUGUUGCCAGAAUUACCUUGAUAUGAACACUAGGCAACACUGGAAAAAAAAGAGAAAAUUUUUCUUUCAUAUACAUGCAAAAUAAUAGAUAAAACAGUAGCAAAACAAAUAAUAUAUAAAAAACAUUCUAUAUCUUGACUGAGUGAUUUAUCCCAGGAAUAUGAUUAAUUUAAAAUUAAAAAUCAAUGAAUAUAAGCCAACCUACUAGCACACUUCAAAAUACAAACCAUAUGAUCAUCUCAAUAUAUACACAGAUAAUGCAUUUGACACAUCCUAACAUUCAUGUCAUGUAAAAAGCUUUCAACAAAUUAGGAAUAGAGGGGCUAGGGAUGUGGCUCAAGUGGUACUACGCCCUCACCUAGCAUGCAUGAGGCACUGGGUUCAAUUCUCAGCACCACAUAAAAAUAAAAUAAAGAUAUUGUGUCUACCUAAAACUAAAAAAAUAAAUAUUUUAAAAAAAUUAGGAAUAGAGCAGAGUUUGUUUAGUCUGAGAAAGGUCAUAUACAAAUACCCUACUAUUACAACAUGGUUAAAUGGUAAAAAAAAAAAUCGAAUGUUAUGACUCAGAACAAGACAAGGAUAUUUGCUUUUACCAUUUGUAUUCAGAAUUUUACUAGAGAUUUUAGCCUGUUCAAUAAGACAAGAAAAUAAAAAGAAUUAGGAUUGGAAAUUAAAGAAUAAAAAUUUCUCUUUAUGUAGAUUGUGAUUUUCUAUCUAAAAAACUCAGUCUACAAAAAUCUACUAUAACUAAUAGGUGAGUUUAGCAAGUUUGCCUAUUUUAAAGUUAACACACAAAAAUUCUUGUUUUUGUAUUCUAGCACUAAAACAUUUGUGAAUUAAAACAAACUGUAUGUAUUAGCACUAAAGACAUGAUAGAAAGCUGAAGCAAAAUGGGAAUGAUUUGUAUACAAAAACAUAUAAAAUACUGAUGAAAGAAAUCAAAGAAGACCUAAGUAAAUGGAGAGAUAUACUGUGUUUUUCUUUUGAAUUGAAGAUUUUAGCAAUAUUAAGGGGAAUACAUUCUGAUGAGUUCCAAUAAACAGCCCAGCAAUAUAUUUUGUAAAGUGCCGAGAAGCUGAUUCUACAAUUUAUUCAAAAAGUCAAAAUGGAUAGUUAAAGCAUAUACAUGCAAAAUAAUAGAUAAAACAGUAGCAAAACAAAUAAUAUAUAAAAGAACAAAUCUUGGGAUUGCAACAGUAUUUGAUUUAAAUAGUUUAAAAAAUAUUUACUUUUUAGUUGUAGUUGGACACAAUACCUUUAUUUCACUUAUUUAUUUUAUGUGGUGCUGAGGAUCGAACCCAGGGUCUCGCAGGUGCAAGGCAAGUGCUCUACUCCUGAGCCACAACACCAUCCCAUAGUUUUUAUGAAGCUAUAAUAAUCAAGGUACUGUGGUAUAGGGAAGAGGACAGACUAUAUUUAUCUAUAUAAGGUCAAAAGAUCUUUGACACAAAUUAAAAAGAAGACAAUGAGAUGGAGAAAGCAUACUCUUUCCAAUAAUUGUUACUGAAUAAUUCAUAAUUUAUCUGAAAAAAUAAAUGAACCUCCUUCAUAUCUCAUGGCAUAUACAGUAAUUAACUCCAAAUGAAUGAUUUAAACUAUGAGACUUUUAGAAAAAAGAACAUGCGGGAAUGUUUGUAAACUUUUUGCUAGGCACAACACCAAAUAUGUCAUUCACAAAAUAAGAAAAAUCCUAAGUUUAUCUUCAUCAAGUUUUUACUUUUUGAAUAAUAUUGCUAAGGUAGUGAAAAGCCAGAGUAAUAUUAGCCAGAUGACAGAAUAUGUGGUUCUUCAGCUUCACCCAUCUACACACAAACCCAUGUAGCAACUGUCCCUAUGAAGUAUUACCCUGAAUACCCCAAGAUGUGUGUCUGAAGCUAAUAUACCAACUUGGGAUCACAGAGCUGAGAAAAGUCACAAUUAAAUGGUAAGAGAAAGAGUUCUGUUGGACUUGCCACCCUUUUUCAAGAUGGCAAAGCAUCACUCACAGAGAAUUCUCUUAGACUCACAAUUCUGUAGUUGGGAUAGUAAAUUUUAGAGGUAAAGAUUCAGUUUCUCCACCAUUCCUGGGCUCACCUCAGGAAAUCUUGGGGCACCUGAGAGGACUAGGUGCCAGGGGUCAGUUAGAAACAACAAGGAUGGGGCUAACAAUAAAUAGCAUGCAAAUCUUGAUACUCUGCAUUCUGGCCAACAGAGAUGGUAGCCAACAACACCAUGCUUCAGUAAACAGUUGCCUGUGGAGCCAAAGCAAUGGUGGGGUCUGUGAUCACUGGUGCUUUUGAUCCUGUGGGAAGGAUUUCAAGUGAGUCUCACAUAUUUUCAGGCAGGAGUGUUUAUUAGAAAAAUGGAGAAUACAGAUGUUCAGGAGAGACUAAACAGGUCAUGUCAGGGGGUGGUGACAUGGGCCUUACAGAGUCGUGGUUUUUAAAAGACUGAACUUGGGGGCUGGGGUGGUGGCUCAGCAGUGGAGCGCUUGCCUAGCAUGUGUGAGGCACUGCAUCACAUAUAAAUAAAUAAAGAUUCAUUGACAACUAAAAAAUAUUUAAGAAAAAAAAAAGACUGACCUUGGAAGCUCUCCCUCUGAAAUUGGAAGAUGAAGAUGGUGGAUGCAAAUGAUGGCUCCAGAAUGUCCUGAUCCCUUUGACUUGAUAAGAAAGGCUCCCUGGACUUGGAAGAAGUUAAAACCUUCGAAAUUCCUGGAAGUGAAAAACAGUGUGAAACCUGUUAACUUUUGUCUUUCGUUCUAAUGCAUCCCUUCCCCUUUCUAAAAACUUUCUUCCUCCCAGAGGGUUUAGGGAUGACACUUUUGAAACAAUGACUAUAUUUUUUCAUCUUUCUUCAAAGGUAAUUUUGAAUAAAAUCCCUUUCCUACCAAUUUGACUUUGAAUAUGUCUGGAGCAGAGAGUGUUGUGGCUUAUCUUCCUUACUCCUCAGGCCCAUAUUUGAACUGUCUGGUAACAGUUUCUUUUGUUUCUGUCUGCUUUGAUAAAAUUCUCUGUUAUGAACUAUGAAUUGUCUUUGAUGCACAUGUCUGACUUCCUCCCUGUAAGUUAUUACCCUUUACUGUCCUUCCCCCUGCCCGCCUGCUUGUGACUGACUUGCCUAACAGAAAAUCCUAAAGAUUUCAGAAGAAAACUAUUCAAUCUAAUAAAUGAACUCAGUAAACUUGCAAGAUACAAA